GAGGAAGAUAUACUUAAGGUGCGUAGAAUCGAAGAUGGUGGUUAUUUGAUAUUUUAAUUGUCAUAAUUUUAAUUUUUAUAUGCUGCAAUAGUUAAUAUUGUAAGUAGCGUCACAUGAGUACAGUAGUAUGGUUAACAAGUUGAAUAUAUAAAAGUACGCGUACCAAUUGAUUGACUCAGUCUCUGCAGCAGACAGAACUCUGUUUGACGAAUUAUCAGAGCAAUAUGAAGUUAUAUAUUUUUAUGUUCGUGAUUUUCUUAUCUUCUGCGAUGUUCCAAAUGGCUCAGUCUUGCAUCUGUACGAAGGAGUACAGUCCGGUGUGUGGCGCUUCUGGCAAAACGUAUCCUAAUAGCUGUAGUUUGAGAUGCCAUAAAGAUAAAUUAGUACAUUACGGUAAAUGUAACAAAAGGAAACUGCUUUCAAAAAAUAAAUAUGUCUAGUGCAUGAAUACGGGAUUUCAAUCAAGUGCAGAUCGCAGCGAACUUGGUUUUAAGGCAAUUAGCAAUAGUUAUGCAAUUAUCACGCAAUCAGUUGUAUUUAUAAGUAUUUAACAUAUUAGGUGCAUUGUUAAAUUUAAAAUUAUAUAUUUUUAUUUCUAAAAUAAUUUGAAAAAUAUUUUAGUGCGAAUUGUUGGACGAAUUUAUUAUAUUACUAGCAACCCGCCCCGGCUUCACGCGGGUGCAAUGCUGAUACUAAAUAUACUACAGAAUGUCUUUAUUUAUAGUGUGAAGCUAACUUAUGGCAUGGUUAUUAACAUAAUAACAACAUUCAAAUAUGCGUCGGUAGAUUACGCGUUGUUACAGAAUGCGUUGAAGAAAUAAAGGUUCACUGAUCGUACCCCGUAUGUGAUAGGGUAAUAAUAUGUAGCCUAUAUGUUGACCCAACUUCUUAAUAAUAUUCAUGCCAAAUUUGAAGUAAAUCCAUGCGCUACUUUUUGAGUUUAUCUCGG
rnacentral:misc_RNA from 1 species